AUGCCUUUAUCACAGUUGGCCAAAAAACACCUAUUUGAACCUGAUACUAGUGAGCUAGCCAAUCCAGUGAUUACGAAGUUAGGCGUACCACACGGCCAUCCUGAGCUUGGACCAUGUGGAUGGACGGCAGGGCCAUCUUUCUCAGCUCGUUGUUAUCAACCUCCUGCACCUGGGCCCAGACUUGAUGAAGCUUCAACCCUUGGGACACAUAUGAUAUCCAAAGGUUUAGGCUGGAAGAAUCAUGAGGUUGAAUACGCUCCAAUGCCUCUUGGGUAUCUUGAAUGGGGUACUAAUGUCUUGAAGAAAUAUCAUACCAAUCUGAAGGGGAGUGAGGAAGGUGUGGAUUAUGUCUAUGGAGCCAUUUAUUGCUCUUUAGGCGACUAUUUUGUCUCCCCUUCUCCCAACACCAACACGUUUUUGUUCUUGUCUGGCGAGCGUACAGUCACACUUCUUGAUAUGCAUCAGAUUGCGGGGUUGCCCCUUGAUGGUGAACCUUAUGAAGAAUAUGUUCCCCUAGCUGAUGAGUUGGAUCCUUCGACUCUUUUGUACCCCAACUUCCUGCCUCGGCUCCUAGAAAUUUGGACCAAGCUUGCUAUGGGUGGCAAAGUAGGUUUCAAGGAAUGGUGUGAUUUCUUUCACAAUAGUGGAGUAAACUCCUUUGCUACCAAGAGCUUAGAAGACCAGCGCGUGUACACCGCGGCUUUUCUUGCCAUAUGGCUUUGCCGCUACGUCGUUGUUGGUGGUGGGCCAUAUAUUCGCCCUGGGGUAUUAGUGAUGGCGGCAUGGAUUUCCCUAGGACGACGCAUCUCUUCGGGCCCACCUGCUCUUUGCUCCCUUUAUUACUCACUUCGGCGGAUUUGUACUCAUCCGAUUGGCCCCUCAUUCAUACAUAGGAUUUGGCCGGUUCACUACCUUGCUGGAUGGAUGGGCGUGUACCUCAAGAAACCCUAUGGAAAUAGAGCAAAAACGCCAAAUUUCCUAAGCUCCAGAAUUUUGGCGGUACAACCUAAUAUGGUGAACACCAUGUUUAAGACGCCACAUCAUUUUACUCCUAAAGAGGCACAUGCUUUCCUCGAUGACUCUAAGAAUAUUGUUUGGAACCCCUAUUCUCUCACUAUGGAAGGUGUGUUCAAACCCAAGAGGGCUUUCUUAAUUUCUAUUCGUCGAGGCAUGCUGCCGUGGAGGCAUGGUACUAUCACCGCCGAUGUGUGUAUAGCUGAACCAUAUCACCCAGAUCGAGUGGAACGACCGUUUCGUCUUGACCAAGUUGUACCCUUUUCUCCUCUAGCGAGCCUGUAUACUCAAGACGAAAUUGGAAUUGCCUAUGCUUUUUGGUCACACCUAUUAUCCUUGGCCCCUGAAGAAUUCCACUAUUUUCCUGACGAUGAUCGAGUUGGGAACUCCUCUGUAGCAUGGGCUAAUUGGUGGAAAAAAUUUCUAAAGCCUUUCGCCGACAUUCUGGACCAACUUUGCAAUGGCAACAUGACUAGGAAGACCCCUUAUGAUGUAAGGAUAAAAAAUAAGCGUGCACUACAACACAAUAUCAGGCCUCGCCCAUUGUCUGAUAAAGAUUUUAUGGUGGUGAGGAGAGUAUCUAUGAAGCACCGUGACCAACAUGUUCAGUCCCUUGAGAAGGCAGAAACGCCUAUUACAGAUCAAUGGAGACUGGUCCUCUACAAUUAUUUAAAUGAUGUUGUUGCUGCUCAACCGGUGAAGUCUAAAGAGCUACGGCGAGGUAAUGUACUGAAACAGAAUGCCAUAGCUGGGUCCUCCUCCGCUCAUCCACUAUCAGUGGAUAAUGAUAUCUCAGACACUACGCCAUCCGCUAGCGAAAAGAGACGCAGACAAUCUACACCGUCUCAUGUGGAACAGGAAGCAAGGCUGCCUUUGAUGCGUACACUUGAUUUGGCCCAAGCAUCCAAUUUUUCUGAACCAAUAACAUUGGAUGGUCCGUCCUUAGAUGUUGAAUUCAGUAACUUUGUUAGUGGUGAAGAUUUUAGCCAUGUUCUCACAGGAGAAAAGGACCAUGGCCUUGGUGACCUCUUCGAUUUAUCCGUCGAGGAUUGUACCUUUGGCGAGUGUGGCACAAGUCGUCUACCCUCCAGCCCUGGUGUGGCUGAAACUGUGCUCCCUACCCCUAGUGCUCUUGAUUUCUUGUCAACUUUACCUGGUUGCGAACAAGAAAGUUACCAUUCACAAGACCCUGUAAUGAUGGUUGUAUCAGGGAAGGCGCACAGAUGGACUGCAGCUUUGUCAAAGACACAUUUAUAG
rnacentral:rRNA from 1 species